AAAAGGGGGUUUCCCCUUAGUAGCGCGCGAGCGAAGCGGGAAGAGCUCAAAUUUAUAAUCUGGCACCUUCGGUGUCCGAGUUGUAAUCUCUAGAAGUGUUUUCCGCGUUGGACCGCACACAAGUCUGUUGGAAUACAGCGGCACAGUGGUGAUACCCCCGUACACGGUGCGGACGCCCAGCGCUUUGUGAUACACUUUCAAUGAGUCGAGUUGUUUGGGAAUGCAGCUCAAAUUGGGUGGUAAAUUCCAUCUAAAGCUAAAUAUUGGCGAGAGACCGAUAGCGAACAAGUACCGUGAGGGAAAGAUGAAAAGCACUUUGGAAAGAGAGUUAACAGUACGUGAAAUUGUUGGAAGGGAAACGCUUGAAGUCAGACUUGCUUGCCGGAGCUUGCUUCGGUUUGCAGGCCAGCAUCAGUUUUCCGGGGUGGAUAAUGGUGGUUUGAAGGUAGCAGCCUCGGCUGUGUUAUAGCUUUCCACUGGAUACAUCCUGGGGGACUGAGGAACGCAGCGUGCUUUUUGCGAAGGUUUCGACCUUUUCACGCUUAGGAUGCUGGUGUAAUGACUUUAAACGACCCGUCUUGAAACCACGGACCAAA
rnacentral:rRNA from 1 species